rnacentral:lncRNA from 1 species
GCAUAAUAAAAUAAUAAAUAGGACAGGUCAGAGUCAACCUCUUCACAGAGAUGGUCCAAACAGGAGAAAACACAGCUUAUAUAGGAGUUACCAAGAGAACCUUAGGACAAAGGUUAGACAAACAUAGGAAGGACAUAGAAAAGGGUAACACCAGUACAGCGCUCGCAGCAGAAGCCUAUGAUAAAGAAGUUAAAGUGCAUUGGGACAGAGCCAAAAUAAUAAAACCGCUGGUAAGGAAAUCACAGACCAUGUUGACAGAGGCUCUAGAAAUUUUGAAAGAGAAUAAUAAAAAAAGAACACUCAACGACGGCAC